CAAACGAGCGGUGAACCCCCGCACCAUGACACAACAACCCAGUGCUCUGUGAUACGUGUUCUACGAGUCGAGUUGUUUGGGAAUGCAGCUCAAAAUGGGUGGUAAAUUCCAUCUAAAGCUAAAUAUAGGCGAGAGACCGAUAGCGAACAAGUACCGUGAGGGAAAGAUGAAAAGCACUUUGGAAAGAGAGUUAAACAGUACGUGAAAUUGUUGAAAGGGAAACGAUUGAAGUCAGUCGUGUUGAUCAGUUUCAGCUAGUUCUGCUAGUGUAUUUGCUGGUCAACGGGUCAACAUCAGUUAUAUUCGGUGGAAAAAGGCAUAGAGAAUGUAGCACCUCCGGGUGUGUUAUAGC
rnacentral:rRNA from 1 species